UGCAUCAGCUGGGAAUCGAACCCGGGCUGCCCGCGUGGCAGGCGAGCAUUCUACCACUGAACCACCGAUGC
rnacentral:tRNA from 1 species